AAAGCAACAUCUCAUUUUCUCUAGAAUCCUCUUCAUUUCUCACUCACACACACGACACUCCACACACACAGAAUCACCGUCACAUUGACGAGUAGAGCCCGCCCAAAGCCACCGAGUCUAGCCCAGCACCGCCAAACCCAAUGCCAUCAAGCCAAGUUAAGCCCAUCGCCGUGCCAAGCCUAGCCCACUCUUCUUUCUUCUGAUCGAGUAGCGACACCAAUCCUCACAUUUCUCACUUCCAAUCACUGUAAAAUCUAAGAUUUUCAUUUCUAUUGAUUUAUUUUAUUUGAUAGAUCAUAUUAUUUUAUGUGUGUGAAUUUUUUUGGGAUUUCCAUGUGAUGUUUUAGGGUUUUGUUUGCAAGUACAAAAUCUAUUAGUGGGUCUUUGGAAACAAGAGAGUUUCAAAGAUGAGUUAUGUGAAAUGCCAGUUUGUGGGUUUUUCAUUUUUUUUCGUUUAUUGGUUUUUUCUUGGAUUUCUAGGAUGAUUAAUGCUGCAAAUUGUAUGAUUGAAGGUUUUAUAUUCCAUAUGUGUUGUAAAUCUAUUUCUGAAAAAACAGCUUGUAUUCUAGAAUUUAAUUUUUAUAUUUACUAACCAUCUUACUUCUAUCUGACAUUGUAUUAUUAUGUUAUCUAUUGGUUGUACUUAUAGUUAAGUUAUAUAAGCUCUGGGUCUGACCUCUCCAAGUCUAAUAACCAUUCCUAAAGAUUUAUCUUCUUUUUUUUUUUUUUUCCUAGUAAAUUUCUCUGGCUUUUAUUUUAUACUAGUAGUGGUCAUUUUGAUUUUCAUGAAGCUUAUUUUAUAGACUUCCCAUAUAUGCUACAUGCUCUCUAUUUUGCCAAUGGUAUUCAUCAAAAUAUAUAGAAUAGUGAGUUUCUUACUGAUAUCAGCAUCCAAAUAGAGGCUUAUGAUGAAGAAGCAUGAGCGUGUAUGGUGGAAUUUAAUUGAUCCUCUAUGAAAUUUAUUUCAUUUAUUUGUCUUUAAUUUGUAAAUGUUUGUCACUUCAGAUUGUGAUUCUGAGUGGACUUUAAGCCACCUUUUAUUUUAAUAACCUCAGUGCCGGUUACAUUGUCCACUCCAUCAAAUCUGGAUCUCAGUUCUCUAGAUGAGUCUGUGGUCGAUUCGAGCAUGACAGAGAGUGACGGAGAGGAUUAUCUCAUUGGCUUGACGAAGAGCAUAGGUGUUCCUUCAGACCAACAAUCUCCAACUCUCCAAAGAUCAUCAAGAAACAAACAAAUCAGUUUAAUCUUGGUGUUUGAGGACAUUUUGUGUAGAAAGAAUUACAUUUGAACAACCGCAUUUUUUGCAAGUGUUGUAGGAUAUUUUCUAACACGUUGGAACUUUGAUUAUGUAAUUAACUUAGUUUGGGCAGUUGUUUUAUUCUUAGGACCACAUCUUUUUGUCAAUCUAAUGAUGAUGAUAUUAUAGACACUGUUAUGUAUAUUGAUAAUAUAUUUCUCUAUUUGAUCCUAUGUUAAUAUUGUGUUAGU